rnacentral:rRNA from 1 species
GGGUCAGUAGGUCUGUCGCGCCACUGGUAUGAACUGGUUUUACUGAUUCCUCCCUCUUGAAGAACUGUAAUGCCAUUAAUUUGGUGUUGCAGGGAAUCAGGACUGUUACUUUGAAAAAAUUAGAGUGUUUAAAGCAGGCUCACGCUUGAAUACAUUAGCAUGGAAUAAUGAAAUAGGACGUUUGAUUCUAUUUUGUUGGUUUCUAGGAUCGACGUA